CAAGAGUAAUAUGAAGUUGUCGGGGUUCAAAUGCGGUGAUCCGGGAUCAUCCGCGCGAAAGAAAAUAAUUGUUCGGGGUUCAAGAAAAAGCAAAAAAAAAAUCAAUCAAGAGAAGUUUCGGGGUUCAAGAAAAGCAAAAAAAAAGAGACAGAGAAUAAUCCCCAACUGAGCGCAGAUUGUUCGUUCACAGUGGAUUAAGUAGGGAUGGCAUGCUCAUGGCUUAUUAUUCCCAACAUGAGUCGUUG
rnacentral:lncRNA from 1 species